AUCCAGUCGAAGAGUUCCAAAUAGGACGAAAUACACAUCCCGGAU
rnacentral:hammerhead_ribozyme from 1 species